ACACUGCAACGCAUCCGGGUUCCUAUUUAUGGUACAGUUUUGGUCAAGGGCAAGUUCCUUUAAUCUUUGUCAUCCGCAUACAACCUUGAAGUGAAAUGGCAGCAUGUAUUUGAGCAGAGCCCUCUGUAUCAUUUGUGAGAGACAGGAAUGUUGUGUUAUGAGGCAAAGGCAGUCUGAAGUUUCCAUCCUUCAGCUCGGAGCAGCACUUUCCUGAACUCCGGCCAGGAAAAUGUGUGUCGGCUUGGCAGCUUGACUGUGGGAAGACUAUGGGCAAAAACUGGUGGAGUUUUGCAGCAAAGGGCUUUAUAUAGCCUUACAGCUCCUCGGGACUCCCUCUUUGGUGCAGACAGAGUGAUAGAGACAUCAAUAGAGGGAUACUAUGCAGCAAGAGCUGCAAUUACAGGAACAUAAUGAGUGGAAAUGAGAGAUGUCAGAGUUUAAACAGAAAAUGGCUUGGUAAAAUAAGUGUAUUAUGGUUUAAAAUUACUCCACUGCGUGUAAACUUUAAAAUAGACAUUCUAUAGAGUCUGAACCCCGGGACCAAUGGUCUGUUACCUCCAGAUAAAGCUUUAAUUUCAUGUUCAGCUGCACAAGGAAAACAAAUGCUAUUCCCCGGUCUCUGUUAAUUACUGCCAUCCCAUUUCAGGAAGAAGUUUAUCCCCCUCCUCUUUGUUUUCUCUGUUAUCUACUGUACAUGACUUCCUAUAUGAGCACUGAGGCAGGCCGGUCCACUCACAGAGACUCCUGCAUCAGGUUCGGAGAGAGAGACAGAGACCCUUACAUUAUGAAUGAGAAUGAGAUACAAUAUGCUUUUAUUCUGUCAUUAUAGUAAAGAAAUUAUUAAAAUAUUGUACAAGGAAUAUUUGCUUUUUUUAGUUGACAUUGUAUCCACAAUAUUAUAAUGUUAUAGGUAUAAACCUAUUUAAUUUUUUAUGUUAUAUGUUAAAUGCUAGGACUGUCAUUUAAAAAAAAAAAUGAUUGUCAUAAAAUAUUUAUUUUAUUAAGUUGACAUUGUAUCUUCAGUUUUCUAAUAAUU
ensembl:lncRNA